rnacentral:rRNA from 1 species
AGAGUUGAUCUGCUCAGACGACGCUGCGCGUGCUACACAUGCAAGUCGAACGGAGUAGCUCUUCGGGGGCUGCUUAGUGGCGAACGGGUGAGUAACGCGUGAGGAACCUGCCUCUCAGUGGGGGACAACAGUUGGAAACGACUGCUAAUACCGCAUAAUGUUUUCGGACCGCAUGAUCUGAAAACCAAAGCUUUAUGUGCUGAGAGAUGGCCUCGCGUCUGAUUAGCUAGUUGGUGGGGUAACGGCCCACCAAGGCGACGAUCAGUAGCCGGUCUGAGAGGAUGAACGGCCACAUUGGGACUGAGAUACGGCCCAGACUCCUACGGGAGGCAGCAGUGGGGAAUAUUGGGCAAUGGGGGAAACCCUGACCCAGCAACGCCGCGUGAAGGAAGAAGGCCUUCGGGUUGUAAACUUCUUUUACCAGGGACGAAGAACGUGACGGUACCUGGAGAAAAAGCGACGGCUAACUACGUGCCAGCAGCCGCGGUAAUACGUAGGUCGCAAGCGUUGUCCGGAUUUACUGGGUGUAAAGGGCGUGUAGGCGGAGAUGCAAGUCGGAUGUGAAAUCCCGGGGCUCAACCCCGGAACUGCAUUUGAAACUGUAUCCCUUGAGUGUCGGAGAGGCAAGCGGAAUUCCUAGUGUAGCGGUGAAAUGCGUAGAUAUUAGGAGGAACACCAGUGGCGAAGGCGGCUUGCUGGACGAUAACUGACGCUGAGGCGCGAAAGCGUGGGGAGCAAACAGGAUUAGAUACCCUGGUAGUCCACGCUGUAAUCGUUGAAUACUAGGUGUGGGAGGACUGACCCCUUCCGUGCCGCAGUUAACACAAUWAGUAUUCCAC